AUUGAACGCUGGCGGAAUGCUUUACACAUGCAAGUCGAACGGUAGAGGGGGCAACCCCUCGAGAGUGGCGAACGGGUGAGUAAUAUAUCGGAACGUGCCCAGUCGUGGGGGAUAACGUAGCGAAAGUUACGCUAAUACUGCAUACGAUCUAAGGAUGAAAGCGGGGGAUCGCAAGACCUCGCGCGAUUGGAGCGGCCGAUAGCAGAUUAGGUAGGUGGUGGGGUAAAGGCUCACCAAGCCAACGAUCUGUAGCUGGUCUGAGAGGACGACCAGCCACACUGGAACUGAGACACGGUCCAGACUCCUACGGGAGGCAGCAGUGGGGAAUUUUGGACAAUGGACGCAAGUCUGAUCCAGCCAUUCCGCGUGCAGGAUGAAGGCCCUCGGGUUGUAAACUGCUUUUGUACGGAACGAAAAGGUCUCUCUUAAUACGGGGGACUCAUGACGGUACCGUAAGAAUAAGCACCGGCUAACUACGUGCCAGCCGCCGCAGUAA
rnacentral:rRNA from 1 species